ACGGAAGGCAGCAGUGGGGAAUAUUGGGCAAUGGGGGAAACCCUGACCCAGCAACGCCGCGUGAAGGAAGAAGGCUUUCGGGUUGUAAACUUCUUUUACCAGGGACGAAGGACGUGACGGUACCUGGAGAAAAAGCCACGGCUAACUACGUGCCAGCAGCCGCGGUAAUACGUAGGUGGCAAGCGUUAUCCGGAUUUACUGGGUGUAAAGGGCGUGUAGGCGGCUCUGCAAGUCAGAAGUGAAAUUCCCGGGCUCAACCUGGGCGCUGCUUCUGAAACUGCAGAACUUGAGUACUGGAGGGGAAAGCGGAAUUCCUAGUGUAGCGGUAAAAUGCGCAGAUAUUAGGAGGAACACCGGUGGCGAAGGCGGCUUUCUGGACAGUAACUGACGCUGAGGCGCGAAAGCGUGGGGAGCAAACAGGAUUAGAUACCCUGGUA
rnacentral:rRNA from 1 species